CGCCGCCCCUUCCCCGGGCCCGGAGGGGAGUCGAGCUGGCGGGGGGGUGUGUGUGGGUGUGUGUGUGAGGCCUCCUUGAGGGACAGAGCGAUGCGACACUAAACUGACCUCUCUUCUAGGGCCAGGUCCCCCUUCCAAAAUGCCUUUGCUUGAAAAGCAAGAAAAUGGUGAGCAGGUGUUGAUGAAAAAUGAAAGCUAUUUGCAAAUCUUGAAAAAUAAGGAUCAGAGAAAGAGACUUGUCCAUGAAAUCUGUUCCUUUUUAGACAGCAGUCAGUCUGUCCAAGAAAUUGAUGCUUUGAGGACAGAAAAUAGGAAGCUAAAAAAUGCGAACUCAAGACUGCGAUAUAAAACAAAAGAUUGGGCAUUAAGGAAAGAAGAGUAUAAAAAUGAGAUUGAGAGACUUUCUGGCGAGAUAUCCAGCUACUUAAAUGUCACCAAUUUCUGGUAUGAAGAGUCAGAGCUUCUGAAUGGCCCAGCAGAUAAGAGGAUACCAAGGGAACAGACCAAACAUGCGAGCACUCAGACAGAGGGCGCCUACAGAGCGGAAGAAAGGACUGUUGCAACUCAGACAGGUGAAGAAAGCUCAAGGAUGACUUUGGAUGGUGGAAGAGCAGUUUAAUGUCAACGUGACUUGUUGCUGGACAACAUAAUGUUUGACAUUGUUUCAAAUUUCAGUCUUACUUAAGAAUAUAUUCAAAUAUAUAUAUUUAUAUAAAUAAAAAUCUAUUUAAUCUUACUAAUAAUUAUUCU
rnacentral:lncRNA from 1 species